rnacentral:misc_RNA from 1 species
UUUUGUGAUAAACGACGGUCGAGAUUAUUAUUGGGCUGAGGAUUAUUUUUAGAGAGAAAUGGUAUUUUCGUGGCAUUUGUUGGGGAUUUGUGAAAUUGAUACCGAGGAACUCACGUGACGACUAUCGUUUAUCAUUGACAGAAAGUUUGAUUUAUGUGAAUUUCGUAGUUUUUUAUAGCAACUCUUCGUUGUAAAGCGUUAUAAAAUUUUUGAGAUAUCCCAGAUGAAUUAUCAGAUACGUAUGAGACAUUAAAAAACUGUAUUGAUCAACUCCAUAAAUAAAAAAGUGGAGAAACAUAAUGAUACUACAAAUAAUUCUCUUAAAUUUACUUUGGAAUUUGGGAUUAUUUAUGACUCAUUUAUUUCCGAUAAAUAACCUCCAGAAAACAUACAACAUGGCACUGUAGCAUUGUUGAAGGAUCAUAUAUCAUGAUAACUGAGACGAAGUGUGAGUAAGUUUUCAACUUAGCAAUAACAUACCUACUUUAUUGCUUUAUUUCUUGUCUUUUGCUGUGUUUCAAGAACAGUGGGUAAUUGACAUUGGCUUAUAUUUUGGUAUCAAAAGUCAAGAGUGAACAUAGUAAAUAAAUUUUGUAAUUUCAUUUACAAGCCGUGUGAAAUCUGAAAAGCAUUGGUAUUCGACCAAUAAGAAUUAAAAAAU